rnacentral:rRNA from 1 species
GAGUUUGAUCAUGGCUCAGAACGAACGCUGGCGGCGUGGAUAAGACAUGCAAGUCGUACGCUGGUAUGCGGGUAGCAAUAUUUGCAUAUUGGAGUGGCGAACGGGUGAGUAACACGUGGGUAAUUUAUCUUUGAGUUAGGGAUAAUUCGCUGAAAGGCGGACUAAUACCGAAUGUGGAUACUGGGUGGGGACAUCUGGUUUCUAAAGUUGGGGACCGAGAGGCCUGGCGCUCACAGGUAAGCCCGCGUCCUAUCAGCUGGUUGGUGAGGUAAGAGCUUACCAAGGCUAUGACGGGUAGCUGGUCUGAGAGGACGAUCAGCCACACUGGAACUGAGACACGGUCCAGACACCUACGGGUGGCAGCAGUCGAGAAUCUUUCUCAAUGGGGGCAACCCUGAAGGAGCGACGCCGCGUGGGGGAUGAAGGGCUUCGGCUCGUAAACCCCUGUCAUUUGUGAGCAGGUGUGAUUGUUUAAGAGAUGGUUACAUAGAUAGUAGCAAAAGAGGAAGGGACGGCUAACUCUGUGCCAGCAGCCGCGGUAAA